rnacentral:lncRNA from 1 species
CCCUAUAAUAGAUCCCAUAGAAGUAGCAACAACAGAUGAUUCCUUUGGACAGACGGACAGCAGUGGAACAUAAGCACAGCUGCCCUGUGCAAAAGAAACAAAGAAACAGUCUUCUGAUGAGUCUGAUUCAGAUUCUAAAUUUGAGGAUGAACCAACGGAGGAAGAAAACCGGAAUGAGACAGCCAGUACAGAAAUUCAAGAGGAGAUGCAACCAAGUGGAUCCAUGGGAAAACUGAGGCCCAAACCUGCUUAUUUGAGUUCAAAACCAAAAAGUCAAAAGCAGAGUCUUUUUACUGCAAUCUCGGACAACUGGACUCGGAGCCAGCAGAUAAGAUCCUCCCGCUUUGAGAAAAGUGUCCUCUGUAACACCGUGAUGCUAUUGUGCACCAUGCUUUCUUCUCUCAUCUGGAAUUUUGUCUGCCAGUUGCUCCAGAUCUCUAAUGUCCUGAAGAUUCAACUGCUGCCAACUUCUCUGAUUAUCUACGUGGUUCAGCUUUUCAUUUUUCUGGCUGAAAAAGUUGUGAAAAUCCUGGGCUCCUUGACGCUAGAAACCAGAGGGCUGUCAGCUUCUAUCCUAGGGAGGAAACAACCCACCUUUUCAGCACACCUGACAAGCUGAUGUAAGGUUAGAUCACACCCCAGAAAGGCAGUCAGCAGCAGCUUUGUUCAACCAGUCGAUGGGACCGGAAGAAAGCUGGAGGGACUGGGACAAGCCAAGGUUUUGUGCCAUCACUGUUGAUCCAGUGAUAAGGCUAUAACCAGAACGGCUGUUUGCUCCUUGCACUGAUGCACGCGUUUCACUAACUUUUAAAAAGAGGAGCUAACGAUAGGAAGUCACAUUCCAAAAAGCACAUUGCUGCUUGAGAACGCCUUUGUCUCCGCUUCUCAUGUGAAGUAAGGGUGGAAAGACUGUGUAAGUUACACCAACCUGUGCUAAUUAUGAAGCACGUCUUGUUUGUGUUUACUUGCCUUUCCCUCCCCAUCCCCUGAAGUCUGCACGUCCAAAUAUUUGCACGUCCAAAUAUUUGUCCAGAAUAGCAUGCUUUUAAAUAAAACUUGUUUACCCCUUUAUUUUUGCA